GCUAACUAAAUUCUUCUCCCUGAAGCUUUCAAUCGUAUCCUUUAAGCUGACCUCCAAAGGAAUAAAUUGAACUCCUAAAUUCUUUGCCUUCUCGUUGGAUACUGUGUGGGCCGGAUAAAAAAGGUUGCUAUUGUCCGACAAUCUGUAGUAUGUUAAGAAAAUUCAGAAAGGACAAGUAAAUAAAGCAUAGUUGAAAAGAAAAUGCUAAUGUAAAAUUAAACUCCACAAAAUUUGCAGGAGACAGUAAUGCUUCACAAGCAUUUUGCCUUUACACAAAAUUUCUGUCAUAUAUGGUAAGAAAAUUUAGUUUAAAACUUUUGUUACAAUCCAUUAUAUCAAAGGGCGAAUUGCAUGGAUUAAUGGAAGGGAUGUAUUUAUAUAAUUAACUUUUCAACUUUCCAUAUGAACUAAAACUAGAAAAAGACAAAAUCAGAAAAUGCUGGCUGAGACAAAACCUGGCAAACAGAAUCUUAGGUGACCAGAAUCAAAUUCAUUUCCAUCACCUAAAACUCAAUUAUCUAUAAUUUGCAGAGGAAACCAAUUUGGAGAUCCUUCUCCAAGAAGAACAGUAGAAACAAAUUUCAAAUUUGAGAAAGAGCUCAUUUGAUGAGAACAUGAGACAAAAGAUGCAGAAAAUUCUGGAUUUGAUUCUGGAUUUGAUGUAUGUACUUUGUUAAAUACAAACAAAAAUUAUGAGAUACAUCAUGAAGGUGCAUAUUGCCAUCAACAACAGCCUAUAAGGACAUAUACUGACAAAAUUGACAAGGAAAAAGAGACUUACUUAUCCAGAAAUUUAUGAGCAGGGUAAUGUCCACGCAAAAUGUUGAUGACCUGAGAGGCAUGUGCUGAUCUCCCAACCAGACAAUAUCUUCCACUUGCAGAAGGGAUUUCAAGGGCAAGAAUAUGCGCAUAGGCAACAUCUCUAACAUCAACCCAUCUAAGAGUUGCAUUAGGAAAUGCUCCAGCCCCUGCAUUAAGUAGAUAAGUUAAUGAGAUCUUUAAGCAUAUAUACUAUUGUCAUUUCACCUCUCCUCUAGAUAGGCAAACAAAAGAAAUUUCCAAUUUUAAGUUCCAGAAGAUUUGAAUUAGCAAUCACUUCUUGAAAUGAAAGUCCUAUCAUCACGGUACAAGGUGGCCAUUUGACUCCAAAGACUCCUUGUCAAUGGGAAAAGUAAUAAAACAAGCUGAUUAGCAAGUAGUCUUAAGACAGGCAGUGACAACACAGAAUGAAUUUUUCCUGUCGGUGCCCUCCCAAAAAAUUCCUCAAGGAAGAAAAAGUUAUAACAUCUUCCACCCCAAAAAGUGUUGUUCUUCCUGAAAUUUUCAUAGAAUCUCAAUGUCACAAAGAAUAGAAGAUGCAAGCAACAUGAAUGUCAGAAAAAUGGUUGGACAGCAAAGCUUUUUGGCAUGACCAGCUGAUAGACCAGAUAGCUUGAUAUAUCAGUUCACAUUUCUAUCAAUGUCUGUCAAUUAAGUGCUCCAUUACAAUAAUAAGCUAGCAGAACCUUACAAUUUUAUUAGUGUCAUAGAUACUUUGUUGUAUGAUAACAGAGACAUUUUAGUUCAUGAUAAAGCUAUAACAAAACACAGAUGAACAUCAUCUAAUACAGCUCACGACAUACCAUUCACUAGGUUGAGAAUGAAUUCUGUGCUGAGAUUAAUAGAUGGCUGCAAGACUGGACCAACUACGAAUCCUGGAUGAAUUGUGAUUAUCUCAAUGCCAUGCUCCUUUGCGAAUUUCCAUGCAGCAUCCUCUGCCAAGGUUUUUGAAAGUGCAUACCAAGACUACACCAUAAAAAUUGUUAAAAAGUUGGUUGCUUUGUAGCCAAAAAUACAUAGUUUUCAGACUCAAUUAAGAAGUAAUAUUUAAAUUUUUUAGAAAAUGGAAAAACCUGUUUCCAUCAUUUGGAGCUACUACUUAUGCGGCCAUAAAGCACAAAUUGAAAGCAUGCAUAUUGGAGAAGCUAUUUUACAAAUUAUUAAGUAGAUUCUCAAGGAUGCUAAGAAUGGUAUUGAUUUUUCCUUUUAAGACUCACCAAUGUACUUUAAUUUAAUUAUGUGCAAGGGAUGAUGCAAAGCACCAGUGUUAACAUACUCCUGAUAGUAUGAUCUCUUCAUCCACGAGUCGACACAAAAUGACAAAGGUAUUUGACUUGUGACUGAUCAAGCCAUAUUCAUGACUUUCUAGCAGAAGUUCCUUGACAUUUGACCAAGCAAACAUUGAUCAUCUUGCAAUGCCUUUCCAGACAAUAAUGUGGAACUUGAUUCUACAGCUUCAUUUAGGAGAUGCGCCGUUGACUAUUCCAUACUUUAUUAUCUCUUUCCAAUUAAAGCUAAGCUGUUACUUAAAGGAAGAAAAGAAAGAGGAUCCACCUUUCUGGCCUGCCCUUUAAUCAAAGGAUUCUAUCAAUUACAUUGCCCCAAAAAACAUCCUUCUUUCCUAUAAAAGUACCAUGAAGCCAUGAAGAUCCUAUAUUAAUUUUCCCCAUACUUGGACUAAGCUCCUCAGACUUUGUCCAAUAACAAGUUGAAACUACAGAAAUCUAGCAUUCCAUAUAUACAUAAUUUAACAGGUAGAAAUAGAUGAUAACAUACCUUCUGCUCCUCACAGUAUGAUGGAUCAGAAAACCAACUUUCAUCAACGACCACGUUCUCCUUUAAUUCUCUAUUGUUUGAAACUGCAGCCAUAGAAGAUGUUAUAACAACUUUUUUUAUAGAUGAAACUUUUCACAUGACCGUAGCACAUUGACUGUUCCUCUGACUGCAGGUUCCAGUAGUUCUGCCUAGAAAAUGAAACAAAGACAAAAAACGAAGUCAUUACUGGGCAACAAAUAAGCCUAUGCUUGCAUCCUGCACAAUCAUGUUGGUAUUCUGAUUUUAGAUUUUACUAUAAAUUCUGUACCCUUUACCAGACCAUGUCUCCACCACAGUAACAACUAAAAGCUCAAACAAGUCGCAGAACUGGUUCCCUAGAAGUUUCAAACAUCAGCUAGCUAAGUACAGUGAAAUCAUGGCUUGAAAAACACAGAGAGAGAAAAUAGAAAAGGUGUUGCUCCUACAACUCCUGCAAAGAGAUUUUAGCGAAAAAAUAAACAGCGAGCAAUAUAGGGUUACUAUCAAACUUAUUUGGAAUUUUCUUUUGAUGUCUACGAGUCAAUGGACCAUGAACUAGCUAGAUAGCCUUGUUCAUUAAAAUAACUAAAAUCAAACUUCUAGUGAGUUACUUAAAGGGGAGCCCCACAAACGCAAUUAGAGAAAUGAACAAGGAUAGGCACACUACGUAAAACCAUAAGGCACAAUCAUUAGCAGAUAUGAAUCAAUUAACAAAGGAAGAUGCAUUCAAUCUGCAGAUGCUCAAAUGUAUGUUCAGUUGAUAUGAGAUUCUUAAUCAUUAUAAUUUGCGUACUCAAAAACCAGAAUUCUAUAUUGACUAACAGAUUAGCUAGCCAAAGCAGGGACUUAUUUGCUACAGGGACAAGCUUAAACCUAGCUCUAGCACCUUACACUGACUGAAUAAUGCAGAAAUAUAAUUCGAUAGAUCUUGUCGACAAGCCCACUUGUAGACCAUGGGAAUGUGCUCAACUCUUAAUUUUUUUCAUUGCCUAACAUCAACAUUCUUCCAAUUGUAUCUCUGAAGUAGCAAUAGCUAAAUCAUUUACUAGAGAUCUCAUAUAUAGGUAUCCAAGAUAAUGAAGCACGAAGCAUAUCACAGUCUUCUUACCGUGACCUUCAGGAAGAGGAUUGUGCAUCUACAGACUUUAAAGAAAAAUUCUUCACAGUUUUACCCUGGAAACUAUAUUACUCUCUUCCAUUUUGCAUAAUAAAAGAGAAAUCGAAACACAUCAUAAAGCCAUAGAAUUGGAAAUAAGAAACUCCCUAUUUGUAGUCAGUAUUGAUGCUUUAACAUCAUAUAAAUCAAAGUCCAAAGGAAUAUAUAUCAUCCAAAAAAGCAAGUAGAAAUGAAAUAUUGGCCGGCAAUAGAAGAAUAUAGUAAAAAAAAAAGUAGUAGUAAAAUUAGAUAUUCUACAAAGCAUGUCAAGAAUUUUAAAUUCCGUUGAAUAGAAAGCAAUUUUUAUUGACAAUAAAAAAUUUCCAGUUUGGUAAAGAAAAUGCACCUCUGGAUUGCUAACUGAAAGUUGAACUGGAGAUGCGGUAUGGAAAACACCUUCACAUCCCUCAACUAUUGCAUCAAAGGAUCCCUCUUCUAAUAAGUUUGCCGAGAACAAGUGAAGCCUUUCCUUUGCUCCAGCAAGUGAUGUCAAAUGCUGUGUCUUUUUUGGAUCAUCUGUGGCAUGAUUGCAUCAAGGAGAGGUUCAGACCGCUACAAUUAAUCCCAAGCUAUCUUAGAAAAGUCUAUCAUGUUUUUACCAUGGCUAUAUUUAAGGAGACUUGGACCCAGAGUAAAUAAUGGAAGAAUCCCAAUGCAACAAUAAAGUGAUUACUUGUAUGGAUACAAUAACAUUAUAGAAAUUUCCUUUUCUUUUAACCUUUUUCCUACUCGUUUUGUGUUUUUUUUUUUUUUUGCUUGCCCAAAUUCAUUCCUAGUUUUAGACCACCAGCCUUUCACCUUUAAGCAUUGGGAGCCAAAAAUGCAGAUAAAGAUGAACACAAGGUGAUAACACUGCAACUGACCCUGAAGUACAGGGCGAAAAUCCCACUUAAGCCUUGUCCAUACUGGCCUAAAUACAAGCACAUGGCAGAAAAUCUACUUGCAAACAAGAGAAGCACAGGUAAAUCAAAAUCUGCACACAACACAACAGAGAUAGUACUUGAGGAGUACAAAAUAAACAUACUGAGAUCACGAACGGAAGCUUUAACAGUAUAACCCCGCUCAAGCAGCAGCUUCACCAGCCAUGAAGCUAUGUAUCCCGAAGCUCCAGUCACGCACACCACUUUCCCUUCUCCUGCUGCUGCUGCUGCUGAGCUCAUUUUGUUAGUGCUGCGUUUUUUCUGUGUAUAUUUUGCCUUGGGUCCAUACCACGAAAGGCUUGGGAGCUUAUAUAUAGCAGUAGACAAAUGAUACUGUUGCAAUUUGCUUGGCUCAUGGAUGACGUAUGCUUUCAAGGUUUUGGCGGGGUUCGGGCGGCGGGGGAUUGGGUGUGAGGUAAACGGUAAUACUGUAUAGGCAUGCAUAUAAAAUUUAUAUGAAAUUUGAGCGUGUUAUUUAGUAUAGUGGAUGAUUUCUAAUAAUCUGUUAAUGAAAUUUAGUUUUACAAAAAAAAAGUAAAAAAAAAAAAUAUAAUAUUAUCAAGUUAUAGUAAAACUUGAUAUAUACAUAUAUAUAUAUAUAUAUAUAUAUAUAUAUAUAUGAAUAAAAUAAGAUAUUUUAUGCAUUCGAAUACAAUAACAUAAUCUACUUGUACCAUUAUCAGGUGUUUAACAGAUUUAUUAAUGUAUAUGAAAGUGUUAGAUUUUAUCUCAUAUUUUUCCCAAUUUAUGACUUUGACUUUAAACUGAUUAACUCAUAAGAGAAUAAAAAACCAUCUGGUUGUCGAACUGGACAAGUAACAAAAAAUCAUGUCCAUGCAUGACGGGUUUUUGCUUCCCAUUCUGAUUCAAAUUCUAUAAUAUGUACCAAAGUUUGAAUCCUCAAUUAGAACUAAAAGAUAAAUCGAAUUACUCAAGACUUAAAUCAAGUUUCACUAAGUAAGAGUUCGUUUAAAUUUGACUUGCGAACUAAUUAAGUCAAGUUAGAACAAUAUUUUAUGCUUGAUAAAAAUUUUUGGUGUAGGCCGAGCUUAGCUCAAUGAUCAUAAAAUUGGGAUUUAUUGGUAAAAAAAUUUAAAUUACUCGAAUUCGACUCAAUAAAAAUUCUUUUGAGCUUGGCUCAAUAAAUAAACAAACCAAUCUUAAAUACUAUCUCAAGUUCAUUAAAACAAAAUAUAUUUAAUAUAUUUAGUUUGAUUACACAUGUUUACACCCUUUUGUUUUUCAUAUGGUCGAUAACCAUGUAAUUCUGCACUGGAGCAGAUCUGAGUAAUGUACCUAACUCGUUGAGUUUUGGGACAUGUUUAUCAAUUUUAUUGUGAUGGCAGGUGGCAUUGGCUAAAUGAAGACAAAGUGUUGGCACGAAAAAUCCCCCUGCACACAGCGGAAACAAUUCUAACGCAUAUAAAAAUAUGCGGAAAGAGGAAGAGAACAAACACUCAAUAAUUUAUUUAACUCAAAAUAAAUAUUAAGUCGUAACAUUUUACUCAUAAUAACUCACAAAUCUCAACUAUGAGAUUUUCUCUCUCGUCUAAUCUCUAGACUCAACUCAACUCUACACAUCACUUCUCUUCACCUCUCUUCCACUAAUAACCUACUAGACUACUAGUAUUUAUAGACUCUAAAACUUCCUAAAACAAAUAUAAUUGUAAACCAAAACUUAUUUGGAAACUGACUUGAGAUUUCCUAAUCUAAUAUGGAAACUAAACAAAUAAGAUACCAAAUAGGAUUAGGAAACUAAAUACUAAAAUAGCUUGGUUUAAUUUCCUUCAUUGCCUCCCUUAAACCAAGCUUUUAAAUUAUCAUCUCCAAUGCCAUCACGAGCUUGAAUCUCCAUGAAAAAUUCAGUCACACUAUAAAUGAUAUGGAGUUCUAACUUACAAUUGACCUUCAAUUUCAUCUUUGCAUGUUGUAGUGGACGAAACUUGUACUUCUCAAACAGUUUCUGGCUUGAUCCUCUUGUCAAAAAAUUCAAAUAUAUUCACCCAUACUCCAUAAUUUAAUUCAUCCAUGUCACCAAGAAAAUCUCCCAAAACCAGAAAAUCAUAGUUGAUGCUACCAAUGUUUUUAACAUCGCCAUGUUUUUCCUCUACUUUUUCAACACUAACAACUGCAUCAACUUUAGCAGUAUCACAACCUUCAAUUAAUUUGUCCACCUCACAAUUGAUUUCAAUCAAGUCCAUCACUUGAUUUUUCUCGUCCAAAAAUUCAACAGUCUCGAUAAAGUCAACAAUUUCUCUAUCAUCAUGAUUUUCAACCACAUCUUUAAUUCGAUCAAUGCUUUCACUUUCUUUCUCAACUACUUGUGAAAUUUCUUCUUCAAUCACAAUUUCUUCACCUUUAUGUGUAUCCACAAUUGCUUCAAUUUCUUCUUUCUUUGCCUUAUCAAAAACUUCUUUUUCUUCUUCCUCGUCACAAAUUUCUUCUCCACCAUGACCAUAGGAAUUUGUUAAAAAUUUCCAAGCCUCCUUCGCUGUCUUUACAUGUAUGAAUUUUUUGGCUACAUGUAACUGGACUUGGGUAUGGAGAUAGUAUAAUGCCUUAUAGUUCAACUGUCUAUUCCUCUCUAAUUGUUCAACUGCAUCCCUUGAUAAUUUCGUGCCUUCUAUAGGUUCCAUGAACUCCUUUUGGAUAAUAUUCAAAACUCCAAUAUUUUUGAAAAAAUUCUUCAUCAUCGAUCUCCAAAUCUCAAAAUUGUUUUUACCAUCAAAGAUAAAUACACCACAACGUGGUAAAUAAUGCGGAUCCAUAUUUUAAUUUCACAAACAAGCUCCAAGCCCCAAUUUUGCAAACAAGCCCCAGGAUCAAAGCCUAGAGCUUUGAUACCACUUGUUGGCACGAAAAAUCCCCCUGCACAUAGCGGAAACAAUUCUAACGCAUAUAAAAAUAUACGGAAAGAGGAAGAGAACAAACACUCAAUAAUUUAUUUAACUCAAAAUAAAUAUUAAGUCGUAACAUUUUGCUCAUAAUAACUCACAAAUCUCAACUAUGAGAUUUUCUCUCUCGUCUAAUCUCUAGACUCAACUCAACUCUACACAUCACUUCUCUUCACCUCUCUUCCACUAACAACCUACUAGACUACUAGUAUUUAUAGACUCUAAAACUUCCUAAAACAAAUAUAAUUGUAAACCAAAACUUAUUUGGAAACUGACUUGAGAUUUCCUAAUCUAAUAUGGAAACUAAACAAAUAAGAUACCAAAUAGGAUUAGGAAACUAAAUACUAAAAUAGCUUGGUUUAAUUUCCUUCACAAAGGACAAGGACAAAAAAUUCGCUGUGGAGACGUGAUCUGUGAUGCAUCUAAAUAAAAUAUUUCAAAUAUUCUAGUACUUUAAUGUGAUGUGAUUAUAGAUUAUUGUGUACAUUAUUCUGUAUAUCACACCUGUGUAAGCUGAAUAAAUUGAACCAUGUUACAGUAUCUUUUUUAAAUUAAAAUUUAGAAUUUUGUGCCAAAUUCUUUUACAAUAACAAAUUUAUUUAAACAUUUCAUAAAACAUAAUUUAACAUGACAAAUUUUAUUGUGUAUGGUAAAUUUUUAGUGGCUAGUAACCCUUUUGAUAUUUUUCAAUUUAUUGGAUAGCAACUUAAUAUAGUUAUAUACAUAAACAUAGCAAGUGUACACACAUUUUUUAAUCUUUUUAUUUCUUGUUUUUGUGGGGAAAUAACUAAAGGAUGUGUUUGGAUAGGAGACUAAUAAACUUUUUUUUUUAAUUUUCCUCGUGCCCAAUUGCAGGUUAAAAGGAAGAACUCUCCACCACCUACAGUUGAAAAACAGAUUUAGUCUUUUUUUUGGUAGCCACUGAAUCAAAACUUAGUGAGUCUACUUGACUGGAUUUUCCUUUAGUCAUACCAUUUUGUCAUAAAAAGCGACAGAUUGUUUCUUCUACCUUAGCUCACUGCACACGCCAUGGUCUACUUGAUUGCGGGUUUUCCUUUAAUUGCACCUUUUUGUCAUUAGUGACGAUUGCUUCUUCUAAACCUUAGCUCACUGCACAGGCCAUUCGUUUGAAAGUUAAUUGUUACUGUUUGGUGAAGAGUCAAAGUUGAAAUUGGUAAUCGCCGAGCAAUUCAUCUUUUGACUCCUUGUAAAUACCUGAUGAUACUUUUUUCUACUCAUCAGCACCCAAAGCUUUUCUAAGAUGAGCUUUAGUGACAUUUCACUGUAAUUUUGAAGUUUGAAAAGAAACGAUGUUAUCAUCUCCUUUUCUUUUCCUAUUGUCGCCCAUUACUAGCGUCACCUUUGGAAUGAAUUGCUUCCUAACAAUUCGGAAUUGAGAUCUGCAUCUGGUUUGGUUUGCUUGUUAAACCGAACUUAAAUUGAACUCGACAAGUCAUGCAUAACAAUCGUGUGAUUCUAUUGAUAUAUGUUUUUUUUUUUCGGGUUUUGCAGGUUGGUUGAACAAUUGUUCAAGUUCUUGUCUCGGUUUUUACUGCUUCACCAGUAUGUGGAUGUUGCUGCUAAAGAAAUUUGCAUUUGUCGUUAGAAGAAGAAUUUUCUGUUUUAUGACUGGCAAGUGAUUUGGGUCCAUCUUUUAGUGCUUUGUUUACAAUUUAAUUGGGUUCAAUGGUCCAUCCACAUCCGAACUUAGAAUUUAUCCUUCUAUUUGCUUUUGCAUGAGCAAAGAUUAGCGAUUUUUAAUCAUAAUUCUGGAUUCCUCUAUUCCAGCUGUAUAUAGUGAAGAAAUCUAUCCCGUUGUAAUUGUGUAUUUGCACACCAAAACAUCAUUAGCCCGUCUACUUUUGACAUUGUUCUUGAAUUACUCGGUAUAGAAUGUGUAUUACCUACUGCAUGCAAAUGCAUCAUCGUUAGCAAUGACUAAACAGAAAAUAUGCCUGUAAUUACUAUUUUCAACUGAAAUUAGCAUCUAACUUAUAAUGAUCCACAUUGGUAUUGACUAGAACUAAGUGAUCACUAGCCCUCUUAUUUUGCAUUUGCAUUAAUCCAAUAUCAUCAAACUUCUUCAAAUGGGCUCUCUAGCUACUAAGGAUGCAUUUGAUAAAAUUGAAAUUUGAAAAUUGAAAUCUGAAGUCUGAAUCUAUUAAGUUAUCGAAUUGUUAAGUAUUAAAUCAAGUACAUUUGAGUGUAUAUUACAUUCAUUGAUAAGUGAACAACUUAUCAUUUAUUUUUGAGAACAAGUUUUGGUUAGGAAAUUCAGUGGUACUUAAUUAAUUCAAAUGUUCAAUUUUUAAUUAGCAAACGCAUCUAAAUAUAUUAAGUUUAAGUACUGAAUUGCAUUAUCAAACAUGGGCUAAGUACUAACCUCCCUCAAAAAUAAUUUAGACUGACUGUUGUGUUGAUGUUGCAAUUGCAGGAGGUUCAGAAAGGAUCCAAGGCCUCACAAUUUAUGUUUCGUACAAAUUUUGCACAAGUUGACCUUUGGUAUAAAUUAGUCGGAUUUCGGUAUAAAUCAGGUCUAGUUCAAUGUAAAUUAGGUGUAGUUCCGUGUAUCUUAAUUUGUUAUUAUUUGGUGUAAAUCAGGUUCAUUUUGAUAGAAGUUGAUUAUUAUCAUUAAGUAUAAGUUAAGGACAAUUUGGUGUAAAUUGAGAAUAAAUUGUUAAUUUACACCAACUUGUGCGAAAUGGAACUUGGGAGGCCCCGUUUCAGUUCAGAAGAUAAUGAAAUGCUUGUCAAAGAUUUCUCAAGGUGUUAGGCCUAUGUUCUAGGAGUUACUUAACCUAUUUCCAUUCUUCUCGGAUGUUGUUUAUUGUUAAAAGUAAAUAAGCAUUAUGUCAGUUCAACUCAUGAGCUGUGCUGUACCUGAGAUAAUAGUAGUUGUCUUCAAUAAAAUUUUUCAAAAAUUUAGCGGCUCCAUGCCUAGUUCUUUGAGCAUCAAGGUGUUUUUGAUAAAAUUGAAGUCUAAAAACUGACAUUUGAAGUCUGAAUUCAUUACAAUAUUGAAUUAUUAAUUAUUAAAUCUAAUAGAUUUGACUAUAUAUCACAUUCAGUAAUAAAUGAAUAGCUUAUUACUUAAUUCUGGGAGCAAGUUUUGUUUGGAAAAUUCAGUGCUACUUAAUUAAUUCCGAUGUUCAAUUUUUUGUUAUGAAACGCAUCUGAACCUAUUAAAAUUUGAAUCCAUUAAAUUUAAGUGCUGAAUUAGGUUAUCAAACAAGGCCUAAAUUUAGUAGCCGCUGCAUUCGGUACCUAAGUUAGAUUCUUUGGUGCAUAAGAACUAGGCACAGCAUUAAACAUGCCUAGUUACUGCGCUGCCUAAGAAUAGGCAUAGUAAAUAAGCAUCUAUUCUUUGCCAAAAUUUAGCGGCUUCAUGCCUAACUUCUUGGCCAGAAUCCAAACAUAUGGUUUACUGAUCUAUUCUUCAUGCUUGCAUGAUCUCUUUUAUCUCACACAUUCUCAUCAUCAUACAUCUUAACACUUCUUGUAUCCAGUAAAUUCCUGAUCAUUUGCUCAAUGCAAUUCAUGGUCGCUUUGUCUUAGCUUUGCCUGUAUCCAAAUAAACUUAGAUGACCUUUUUGAAGAAAUUAAGAAACAUAUGUUCAGCCAUUGAAAUGUCAAGCAGUAUUGAUUGUCUUAAUUCAGUUUCUCAAAAUUCCGUUUGGAUAUUUACCUUCUGCAAAUUACAUUUGCAAGUUUUCCAGUAACAUUUCCAACUUAGAUUGAAUUGUCUUCAUUAUGUUUUCAAUUAGAAUGAAAACUACCAAUGAACACUCAACAGUAUUCCGAACACCCGUCUUGGCACCCCUACGCAUCCGUGAGGGCACACACCUAGUAUUCAUGCAGCAGCUGUUGAUAAGACAGGACAUAUCUGAAGAACAACAGAUACUACAAAUUGAAUUCAGAACAUGAGAGUUGAAUUGCGUAUGAUCAAAUUAACAAUGAAGAACAAAUGACGAGUUACAUGAUUGAACUUAUUUUAUCACUUUGAAACAAAGGAUGAUGUUUCACAUUUAUUUAAUAGUAAUUUGAAUACAAUAGGCUUAGAUACUAACUAAUUCUUCUCCCUGAAGCUCUCAACCGUAUCUUUCAAGCUGACCUCCAAAGGGAUAAAGUGAACUCCCAAAUUCUUUGCCUUGUCAUUGGAUAUUGUACAGUCUGAAAUAAUAAGGCUGCUGUUAUCUGACAACCUGUAGUAGGUUAAGAAAGUUCAGAAUUAACAAGUAGAUAAAGCAUAGGUGAAAAGAAAUGCUAAUGUGAAAUCAAGCUCUGCAAAAUCUGUUGCAGACAAUAACGAGUAUUUUGCCUUUGUACAAAAUUUCUCUAAUAUAUGGAGAUCAUUUAAUCUAAAACUUUUGUUAUAAUCCAUUUAAACUUUCUGCAAAGGGCAACGUCGUGGAUUAAUCGAAGGGAUUCAUGUAUCUAAAGUUUGACUUUCCUUAUGAGCUAAAACUAGAAAAAGACAAAAUCAAAAACUGGCUCUGCAAAGUUCUGGUAAUUUGAAAGACCUAUCGAAAAGAAUUUUACUUGAUCUGAAUCCAAUUAAAUACAACCACCUGAAUUCAAACAUCUAUAUUUUGCAGAGAACCAUUUUGGUGAUCCUAGUCAUUAGAAUAACCUAAUUCUAGAAACGAAGCUGAGAAAGAGCAUACUGUGCUACCAAAAAAUGCAGAAAAUUCUGGACUUGAUACACUUUUUUUAAGCUUGAAAUUGAUACAAAAAGAUGUGAUAAAUCUUGGACCUAUAUACUGCAACAGCAACAAGCCUGUAAAGGCUUACACCGACGAAAUUGACAAGGAAAAAAGGACUUGCUCAUUAGGAAACUGGUGAGAAGGGUAAAGUUCAUGCAAAAUCUUGAUGACCUGAGAGGCAUGGGCAGAUCUCCCAACCAGGCAAUAUCUUCCACUUGCAGAAGGGACUUCAAAGGCUAGAAUAUGUGCAUAGGCGACAUCUCUAACAUCAACCCAUCUAUGCGUUCCAUCAGGAAAUGACUCAGCCCCUGCAUUCGGUGCCUAAGUUAGUAGCAUCAUUAUGUAUCUCUUCUAGCGUCUUUUUAAUGCACUAAAGUAUACGUACAAUUAAACACCAAUGGUCUCAGUCACUGGGGAUAAACAAAUGGCAGAGAUGAAAAUGUUCAGAUCUAGAAUCAACGGCCUGCCCUUUAUUUUUUUUUGGAGAGUCUCUUGGUUCUAUUUUAGUGCAAUGCAAGGCCCACAACCAUGAAGAGGGAGAGUUGAGGAAUGAACCACUUGAGACAACCGUCAUAGUUAAUUAUUGGUUGAUCAUAAGAACUAUUACUCCAAUGAACUUCUACUAGAACAGUUGGGCUAACAGCAUGUCUUAGUUUUAGAAAGACCAAUUACUAGGCAAAUAACACAAGUACAAACACGACAAGACUGGUUGUCCUUCAACUAAAACAGGGGUUAAACAUCGAAAGCUGAAGAUACUUGUCCCUAAACCACUCCUCUAGAUAGACAAAAAUAAGAUAUUUGCAAUUUUUUGUUCCAAAAUAAUUCAAAAAUCAACCACUUCUUGCUUUACAAGUCCUGAAGUCAUUGUACAAAGUGGCUAUUUGGGUCGAAAUAUUUAUUGUCAAUAGGGAAAAUAAUAAAAGAAAUCUGAUUAGCAAGUAAAUUCUUAAAACACAGGCAAUGACUACACGGAAUGAAUUUUUCCUGUCAGUUCUGCCCGCAAUUUUUUUUUUUUUCUCAAGGAAGACAAAAUCAUAACAUAUUUCACCCACAAGUGUUUUUCUUCCUGUAAUUGCCACGGAUAAUGUUGAAGCAUAGAAGAUGCACAACAUUAAUUUCGAGGAAGAGGUUAGACAGCAAACCUUUUUAACAUCACCAGCUGAUCAGACCAUAUACCUUGAUAUAUCAGUUCAUAUUUCUGCGUAUGUCUGUCAGUUAUGUAUUCGUUCACAAUACAAAGAUAGCAGAGCCUUACAGUUUUACUUUGAGUAAUAAAUUCUUUGUUGUUUAAUAACAGAGAAGAUUUUAGUGCAUGAUAAAGCCAUAAGCCUAUGACUAACACAGAUAAAUAAGUUUAGACGGAUGGUGAUAACUUAAGUGAUCUAAUAAUUUCUGGAGCAUACCAUUUACUAGGUUGAGGACCAUUUCUACACUCAGAUUAAUAGAUGGCUGCAAGAAAGGACCAAUGACAAAUCCUGGAUUGAUUGUUAUUAUGUUGAUGCCUUGCUCCUUUGCGAAUUUCCAUGCAGCAUCCUCUGCCAAGGUUUUUGAAAGUACAUACCAAAACUACAAAAAAGAGAGAGAGAGAGUUAAAAGUCUGUAUGACAGAAGAAAAUAGUUGGAUAUUAAAAACUCAUUUAAGAAGUAAUGGUAAAUAUCUUAUGUACAAAACUUGCUUACAUCAGUUGGAGCUACUACUGCUGUAGCCACAAAGCACAAGGACAAGCAGUCAUACCAGUGAUUAAGUAAAUUUCUCAAUGAUCAUAAGAUUUGUGUAAAAUUUUCCUUUUAAGACUCCCUUACGUACUUUGAUUUGAUUAUAUGCAAGGACUGAUGCAAAGUUGUGUCAACAUACUCCUGGAAGUAUAUGAUGUCUACCUCUAUGAGUCAACAGCGAAACAACAAGGGAAUUUCACUUGUGACUGAUCAAGCUGAACCCAUGACUUGCUAGCAGAAAUUCCCGUCAUCUGACUAAGCAAAUACCGAUCCUAUUGCAACUCCUUUUACAAUAAUGUGGAACUUGAUUUUGAGCUUCAUUUUAAGAGAUGUGUGGUUGACUAUUGCAUACUCUACUCUCUCUGGUUGAUUCAAUCAAACUUGCUACUUAAACAAGAAAAGGAAGGAAAUUGACCAAUCUGGCCAGCUUUUGAACACAGACAAGAAAAAAAAUCCUUCUUUUCCUAUAAAAGUACCAAGAAGUCAUGAAGAUCCGAUCUUAAUUUUCUCCACACCUAAAAUAACUCCCCAAUUGUUGUCUAAUGACAAAUUAAAAAUACAGAAAUCUAGCAUUCCAUAGGAAUGUUUUAACGGAAGACAAUAGAUGACAUACAUACCUUCUGCUCUUCACAGAAUCGUGGAUCAGAAAACCAACUUUCAUCAACUACUGCAUCCUUCUUCAACUCUCUAUUGAAUGCAACUGCAGCCAUAGAAGAUGUUAUAACGAAUCUCUUGAUAUAUGAAACUUUUGCACACGAUCGUAGGACAUUAAGUGUUCCCCUGCAGGUUCCAGUAGUUCUGCCUAGAAAUGAAACAAAAGAGAAAAUGAAGUCAUUAUUGUAUCCUGCACAAUCAUGCUCCUAAUCUGUUUCCAAAUUUUAGUAUAAGUUCUGUAAACCUACACAAUCAGUUAAAUAGCUAAAAAAAUAACAUAGAAUUCUUGUUGAAUAAUGUGCUAAAUCAAUUAGCUUGAUUAAUGAGGUAGUUGGAAAGCUUUCUAGAUAGUUGCAAUAUUCUCUAGAAUGAUGGAAAUUAAGAGAGUUGGUGGGAUGGUUGGAACAUUUCUCUAUGUAUCUAGAAUGAUCAUUUACAAGCAUAAAUAGACCUUGUAAACUCCAAACCAAUAUAAGAGAGUGAAAGUGUUAGGACCAGGCCAGGAAAUAGACAAACUCAAGUUAGCACAAAUUAGGCGGUAUAACCGACCAUAUAAUAGAUAGGCGGUAGAUACCAGCCAUAUAAUAAUUAGGCGGUAAAACCGACCAUAUAAAGACGGAUAACAAAGCAAAUAAAAGACACAGAAGAUUUACGUGGUUCGGUUAAAUUGACCUACGUCCACGGGUGAGGGAGGAGCAAUAUUUCUACUAUGAAGAAGAAAUACAAAAGCCGUAGGAAAGUGGUUCCUAGGCCAAUAGGCACUUACAAAAGAGUUUAGAAAAUAUUCCUAAACUCAAAACAAGAGAGCCAAAAAUAUUUAACUGAAUGGGCUAGAUGACUCAAGAAGCUAAUAGCCCAUAUAACUCUCUUGAGUGGUGCAAAUGUCUUCACCACCAAGGCCAUAUAUUUAUAGGCCCUGAUGAGCCGUCUUCCUCUGGCUUUGUCCGAUGUGGGACAAACGCCACAUUCAACAAAUCUCCACCUUGGCGUGGUCCCAACAUCGACAAAUAUUCUCCACCUUCGCUACAUAAGCCCCAAUGGGCCGAAAUCACGAACAAUGAACACCAACCAAAUCCAAGCACUGCUUGAAUUUGUAAAGUGGAAGAGGUUUUGUAAACAUAUCGGCUGGAUUGUCCUUAGUAUUGAUUUUCUGAAUAAGGACCUUUCCUUCAGCAAUGAUAUCCCGAAUGAAAUGAUAUUUCACAUCAAUAUGUUUCGUCCUCUCAUGAUACAUCUGAUCUUUAGUCAAGUGUAUGGCACUUUGACUAUCACAGUGAAUAUCAAUAACACCUUGAUAUAGACUUAGCUCGCUAAAUAAACUCUUCAACCACAAGGCUUCUUUGAUUGCCUCGGUCACAGCCAUAUAUUCUGCUUCUGUAGUAGACAAAGCUACGACAGGUUGUAGAGUAGCUUUCCAACUAAUAGCACAACCGCCAAUGCAAAAUACAUAGCCUGAAAGCGAUCUUCUCCUGUCAAGAUCUCCAGCAUAGUCUGAGUCUACAAAACCAACCAAAGUAUUAUUAUUUCUUCCAAACUCCAAACAUACAUUUGAAGUAUCUCGCAAGUAUCUGAGAAUCCACUUCACAGCCUGCAAUGUGUUUUACCAGGGCAAGACAUAUAUCUGCUAACAAUACUGACUGCUUGUGCAAUAUCUGGACGAGUACAAACCAUUGCAUACAUAAUACUGCCGACUGCACUGGAAUAAGGAACCGUGCCAUAUAAUCUUCCUCUUCAUCUGAUUUUGGUGAUUGAGCAGCAAAUAGCCGAAAAUGGCUAGCAAGAGGAGUAGAUACUGAUUUAGCAUCUUUCAUGCCAAAACGCUCCAAGACUUUUUCAAGGUAAUUUUUCUGGGUCAAAAACAACUUCCUACUCCUCGAUCUCGAUUAAUAACCAUGCCAAGAAUUUUCUUAGCUGCUCCCAAAUCUUUCAUUUCAAAUUCACUAUUUAACUGCAGUUUCAAGGUGUGAAUUUCUGACAAAUUCUUGGCAGCAAUGAGCAUGUCAUCAACAUAUAACAAUAAGUAAAUGAAAGAACCAUCAUUUAACUUCCGGAAGUAAACACAGCUAUCAUACAUGCUCCUCAAAUAACCAUGACCUAACAUAAAGGAAUCAAACCUUUUAUACCAUUGUCUUGGAGACUGCUUCAAUCCAUAUAAGGAUUUCUUCAACAAGCAAACAUGGUCUUCCUUACCUUCAAUUUCAAAACCCUGGGGUUGUUUCAUAUAAAUUUGUUCUUCAAGUUCGCCAUGCAAGAAAGCUGUCUUAACAUCAAGCUGCUCUAACUCUAAAUCAUACAUGGCAACUAAAGCAAGCAAAACACGAAAUAGAGCUAUGUUUAACAACAGGUGAGAAUAUAUCAUUAAAAUCAACACCUUGUACCUGACUAUAGCCCUUUGCAACUAAUCGUGCUUUAUAUCUUGCAUCUUCAACCCCUGGAAUACCUUCCUUUUUCUUGAAGACCCACUUGCAACCAACAAUUUUCUUAACUGACGCGGCUUUACAAGAACCCAAGUUUCAUUUUGAUGAAGAGAUUCAAUUUCUUCAUUCAUCGCAAUCAACCACUUUGCAGAAUCAUCACAAGAAACUGCUUCUGAAUAGGUGGAAGGCUCACCAACUGCAUCAGUUUCUUCUGCAACAGACAAAGCAUAUGCAACUAAAUUUGCAUAUCUUUGUGGUGGUCGAAUGUCUCUCCUUUGUCUAUCUCUGGCUAUGGAAUACUCCUCUUCUUCUGAACUAUCUUCAACAGUAGAUUCAGGUGUAUCUACUGGCACUUGCUGAAUAGAAGAUUUGGAUUGAGAAGGACCAGAACUGCCAAUAUCAAGCUCCACCUGCUUCUGUGUACUAUCAGUAGUACAAGGACUAGAAGACUCCUUCUUGGAAGAUAACAUAGACAAUUCAUCAAAAGUAACAUCUCUACUGAUUACAAAUUUUGGGAUUUGGGAUCAGGAUACCAUAAUCUGUAUCCUUUCACCCCAGAAGCAUACCCAAGAAAAAUGCACUUUUUAGCCCUAGGCUCCAAUUUUCCAUCAUUCACGUGCAUGUAUGCUGGACACCCAAAAACUUUUAAAUUGGAGUAAUCAGCAGGAGUACCUGACCAAACUUCCUCAGGAGUUUUGAAAUCAAGAGAUGCAGAAGGAGAACGGUUGACAAUAUAACAGGCCAUAUUGAUCGCCUCUGCCCAAAAGUCGUUUGUCAACCCUGCAUUGGAGAUCAUACAUCUUGCUCUCUCCAAAAGCGUUCUGUUCAUACGUUCAGCCACACCAUUUUGUUGAGGCGUCAUCCUGACGGUGUGAUGCCGAACAAUUCCUUCAUUUUUGCAAAAUUCAUUAAAUUCACCUCCACAAAAUUCCAUGCCAUUAUCUGUUCUCAACCGCUUAACAUGUUUUCCUGUUUGUUUCUCAAUCAAAACUUUCCAUUGCUUGAAAGUUAGGAAAACAUCAUUUUUAUGCUUAAGAAAAUAGACCCAAACUUUCCUUGAAUAGUCAUCAAUGAAAGUCAACAUGUACCUGGCACCACCUUUAGAAGGAGCACGAGAAGGACCCCAUAGAUCUGAAUGAAUGUAAUCAAGAGUACCUUUUGUCUUGUGAAUUGCUGGUGAACUGAAGCUGACUCUUUUCUGCUUCCCAAAAAUACAAUGUUCACAGAAUUCCAAUGGACCGGUACUUUGUCCACAGAAGUCCUCUUUUGCUCAGUAUGCCCAAGCCUUUUUCGCUCAUGUGCCCCAAACGCAUAUGCCAUAAUUUGGUGAUGUCUGUAUCUGACAAAGAUGAUGUUGAAACAGCAGCAGCACCUGUCACAGUAGAUCCCUGCAAAAUAUAAGUACCAGAUCUGUGUGCCUUCAUAACAACAAGAGCUCCUCGAGUGAUUUUGAGAACUCCGUCUCCACCUGAAUACCUGCACCCGAUAGACUCAAGAGUGCCCAAAGAGAUGAGAUUUUUCUUCAAAUCUGGAACAUGUCUAACAUUUGUGAGCGUCCUCACAAUACCAUCGUACAUUUUAAUCCGGAUUGUGCCUUUGCCAACAACUUUACAAACAGCGUUGUUGCCCAUUAAGACAACUCCACCUUCAGUUGAUUCAUAUGUUGAAAACCAGUCCCUAUUGGGACACAUAUGAUAUGAACAACCCGAAUCUAAAAUCCACUCAUUGUUAGACCUAAAAUUAUUUUCCGUUGCACAGAAAAUAGUUCCAUCAUUCUCAUCAACGGCAAUACUAGCCUCGGUGGUUUCACUCCUUUUCUCCUUUUGCUUUUCUUUAUUUUUCAAUUUAAAGCAAUCAGAGAUAAUAUGGCCCUUCUUUUUACAAUAGUUGCACACCACAUUUUUAUGUCUGGACUUGGAUCUACUUCUAUUUUCUGUGUUUCUCUUUCAGAUCUACCCCGAACAAACAAGCCAUCAGCUUGACUCCCACUAGUUUCCCCAGUAAUAUCCCUAUCUAUCUGCUCUUUAGAUUUUAAUGCAGAUUUAAUUUCCCGAUACGAAAUUGUUUCCUUUCCAUAUAUCAUAGUAUCACGGAAAUGCUUAAAGGAUUGGGGAAGGGAACACAAAAGUAAUAGGGCUUGAUCUUCAUCAUCAAUUUUCGAAUCUAUAUUCUCCAAAUCCAUAAUAAUGGAAUCAAAUUUAUCAAGAUGGGAGAGUAUAGAUGUACCUUCAGACAUCCGAAGCAUGUACAAACUCUGCUUCAAAUAUAGCCGAUUCUCGACUGUCUUCUUCAUAUACAAGGCUUUCAAUUUAUCCCACAUAGCCUUGGCCGAAGUCUCCGUUGCUACCUCACGCAAUACCUCAUCGGAGAGAUUUAGGAUAAUACUGGAUCUUGCCUUCUUAUCCAUCUCAGCAAAAUUUGCAUCUGUCACAUCUUCUGGUUUUUCUCAAUUCCUUGAAUUGCCAAAUCAACUCCGUCUUGAACAAGAAUGGCCUCCAUCUUGAGCUGCCACAUGCCGAAGUUGACAUUCCUGUCGAAUUUCUCGACAACCGUCUUUGUUAUCGUCAUUGUUGCCACAAAAUCUGUAACUUGAAUUUGUCUCAAAAAACUGGCCAAACAAAUAUGCAAGUCUCGUGAGCGGGCCCCACAGGGUGAGCGACCCCACGAGAUAAGCGGGCCCCACGGGGAUGAACGGACCCCACAAGGUGAGCGGGCCCCACGGAUAAACGGACCCCACAGGAUGAGUGGGCCCCACAGGAUGGACGGACCCCACCAGAUGAACGGGCCCCACCAGAUGAACCUGUCUUGCAAAAUAUAACAACCAGCUCUGAUACCAGUUUGUUAGGACCGGGCCAGGAAAUAGACAAACUCAAGUUAGCACAAAUUAGGCGGUAUAACCGACCAUAUAAUAGAUAGGCGGUAGAUACCAGCCAUAUAAUAAUUAGGCGGUAAAACCGACCAUAUAAAGACGGAUAACAAAGCAAAUAAAAGACACAGAAGAUUUACGUGGUUCGGUCAAAUUGACCUACGUCCAGGCGGGGAGGAGCAAUAUUUCUACUAUGAAGAAGAAAUACAAAAGCCGUAGGAAAGUGGUUCCUAGGCCAAUAGGCACUUACAAAAGAGUUUAGAAAAUAUUCCUAAACUCAAAACAAGAGAGCCUAAAAUAUUUAACUGAAUGGGCUAGAUGACUCAAGAACUAAUAGCCCAUAUAACUCUCUUGAGUGGUGCAAAUGUCUUCACCACCAAGGCCAUAUAUUUAUAGGCCCUGAUGAGCCGUCUUCCUCUGGCUUUGUCCGAUGUGGGACAAACGCCACAUUCAACAGAAAGAAAUAAAAGAAAGAAACAAUUGAAGCCACCCUUGUCUCCAAAUAUUCCUCUCAAUUCUUGGCCUAAUAUCCAAUAGAUUGGUAUCAGAGCUAAGGUUUCAUUGCCUUAGUUCAUACCCCAAAACCAGAAAAUUUUGAGAGAUUUCUAACUACAAGAUGACCAAUCAUACUAGUGAUGGUCUUCCAAUUCCCAUAUUCUCCGGUGAGCACUAUGAUCAUUGGUUCGUAAAAAUGAGAACAAUUUUUAGAUCACAAGAUUUGUGGGAAUAUGUAGAGAAUGGCUAUAGAGAACCAGAAAGUGAAGAAGGUCUCACCAAUCAAGAAUUAAAGGCACUUAAAGAGCAUAGGAAGAAGGAUGCAAAGGCUCUUUCACACAUCCAGCAAGGUGUGAGUUCAGAUAUUUUUUCAAGCAUUAUGGGAGCUAUCAUGCCAAGGAAGCAUGGGAGAUUCUACAAAAGGAGUUUCAAGGAAAUCUUAAGGUAAAGAAUGUUACUCUUCAAACUCUUAGAAGAGAUCUUGAAAAUUUGAAGAUGUGUGAUGAUGAAAGUAUUCAAAAUUACUACACAAAAAUCACCACAAUUGUAAAUGAAAUGAAAACCUUUGGUGAAGAAAUUAGUGAUAGCAGAAUUGUUGAAAAAAUUCUUGUUAGUUUGCCUCCAAAAUUUGAUCCAAUGGUAUCCAUAAUUGAGGAGACAAAAGAUAUUUCUUCAAUGAGUGUUCAAGAGUUGAUGGGAUCGUUGAAAGCUCAUGAGAGAAGAUUGGCUAGACAUGCUGAAAAAUCUGUUGAAAACGCAUUCCAAUCAAAGCUGAAUGUCACCCCCAAAACCAAUGAACGAGAGCCAUCUUGCAACUACCAAAGAGGUGGAGACUCACAAAGAGGAGGUAGAUAUGGCCGUGGAAGAGGCAGAGGCAAAAAUUCAAGAGGAAGAGGAAGAAACAACCUUCAAAGAGGCCUUAAUGCUGAAAAUUCACAACCUUGCAGCUAUUGUGGUAAGACCAACCAUCUUGAGAAAGACUGUUGGCAUAAAGACAAACCAAAGUGCUACUAUUGCAAGAGGUUUGGUCAUAUUGAGAAGGAUUGCAGAUUCAAGACCAAUCACCAAGCACAAUUUUCAGAAGACAAGCAAGGAGAAGGAAACUUAUUCUACGCUUGUCACACAGCCACUGAAGUCAAGAACAAUAUGUGGUACCUUGACAGCGGUUGUAGCAAUCAUAUGACAAGAGAUAGAUCCAUUUUUAUUGACUUGGAUGAAUCUAUAAAGACUGAAGUGAAGAUGGGCAAUGGAGUCAUAGUUCAAGCACAAGGAUUGGGAACAAUUGGUGUCCAAACCAAGCAAGGUAUGAAGUUCAUUUGUGAUGUUUUGUUUGUUCCUGAUUUAGACCAAAAUUUAUUGAGUCUUGGACAGCUUCUUGAGCAUAAAUAUGCACUUAACUUUGAUGAUCAUGAGUGCUGCAUCUAUGACAAAAAGAAUGGUAGACAGCUUGUGAUGAAAAUCCAAAUGCAAGCAAAUCGAAGCUUUCCAAUCAAAUUCAAUUAUAGUGAAAAUCAAGCCUUGAAAGUAAAUGUCAAUGAAGAUUCAUGGUUGUGGCACAAGAGGUAUGGCCAUUUGAAUUUUCAUAGCCUCAAAGUGCUUCAACAAAGAGGGAUGGCAUAUGGUUUACCAAGAAUUGAGGAGAAACAUAUGAAGUUUGUGAAGGUUGUGCACUUGGCAAACAACACCGGCAACCAUUUCCUAAAGAAGCUGCAUGGCAAGCCAAGAAGAUCUUGGAGCUGAUUCAUACGGAUAUUUGUGGGCCCAUGAAGACAACUUCUCAUGGAGGUAACAAGUAUUUCAUCCUUUUCAUUGAUGAUUUUUCAAGAAUGACUUGGGUCUAGUUCAUGAAAGAAAAAUCCGAGGUGCUUUCAAUUUUCAAGAAGUUUAAAAGUCUUGUUGAGAAACAAAGUGGCCGUUACAUCAAGAAGUUGAGGAGUGAUCGUGGUAAGGAGUACACGUCAAAUGCAGUCCAAAAAUUUUGUGAAGAUGAAGGUUUGGAGAGGCAGCUGACCGUUGGCUAUACACCACAACAAAAUGGAGUCUCAGAAAGAAAGAACCAAACUGUGAUGGAGAUGGCAAAAUCCAUGUUACAUGACAAAGGGUUGCCAAAGGAAUUUUGGGCUGAAGCCGUUUAUACAGCUGUGUAUUUGCUCAAUAGAAGUCCUACAAAGGCCGUGUGGAAUCAAACUCCAAUUGAAGCAUGGAGUGGAAGGAAACCAUCAGUGAAACACUUGAAGGUUUUUGGGAGCAUUUGCUAUGCUCAAAUUCCAAAAGAAAAGAGGUACAAGCUUGAUGAAGUAAGUGAAAAAUGUAUUUUUGUUGGUUAUAGCUCCAAGUCUAAAGGUUAUAGAUUGUUUAAUUUGAAGACUAACAAAAUCAUUAUUGGUCGAGAUGUUGUAUUUGAUGAAAAUGCUGCUUGGAAUUGGGAUGAGAAAAAGAUUGUGAAGCAGGGUGUUUGCCAUCAUAAAGAAGAAGAAAAUUCAACAAAUGAAGAAGAAAAUGGUGAUGAUUCAACACCAACAAGCAGUCCACCACCAUCUCCAAAUUCAAGUUCGAGUUGGAGUUCUCCAAACACAACUCCAAUGAAAAUAAGGAGUUUAAGUGAUGUUUAUGCAAGAUGCAACUUUUGCAUUCUUCAACCAGAAAAUUUUGAAGAAGCAUAUGCAGAAAAGGAUUGGAGAAAGGCAAUGGAAGAUGAAAUUUAUGCAAUUGAGAAAAAUGAGACUUGGAAGCUAGUUGAAAAGCCUCGAGACAAGGAGGUCAUUGGUGUCAAGUGGAUUUACAAAGUUAAGAUGAAUCCAAAUGGUUCAAUCCAAAAGAAGAAGGCAAGACUUGUUGCUAAGGGUUAUUCACAACAGCCCGGAAUUGACUACAAUGAAACAUGUGCACCGGUUGCAAGAUUUGAUACAAUUAGAGCUCUCAUUGCCAUAGCAGCCCAAAAAGGUUGGAAUCUCUACCAACUUGAUGUUAAAUCUGCCUUUUUGAAUGGAGAAUUGAAGGAAGGGGUGUAUGUUCAACAACCUCAAGGUUUUGUCAAAGAAGGACAAGAAGACAAAGUGUAUAAGUUGAAGAAAGCAUUAUAUGGAUUGAAACAAGCUCCAAGGGCUUGGUAUAGUCAAAUUGAUUCUUACUUCAUGGAGCAAGAAUUCAAGAAGAGUAAAAGUGAGCCAACCUUAUAUGUGAAAACUCAAGGCAACUCAGACAUUCUCAUUGUUGCUUUAUACGUUGAUGAUUUGCUUUACACUAGUAACAAUGAGAAGAUAAUUGCUGAUUUUAAGAAAGACAUGAUGAAAAGAUAUGAAAUGAAUGAUAUGGGACUGCUACAUCAUUUUCUUGGUAUGGAGAUUUAUCAACAUGGUGAUGGAGCUUUUAUUUGUCAAAAGAAAUAUGCUGAAAAUAUUCUUGUGAAAUUUGGCAUGGCUGAUUGUAAACCUAUGGCUACACCACUUGUUGUAAGUGAAAAGCUUGUCAAGGAAGAUGGUGAAAAGAAAGUUGAUUCCAUUUUGUAUAGAAGUUUGGUGGGAAAUUUGCUUUAUCUCUCAGCUACAAGGCCAGAUAUCAUGUUUGCUUCAAGUUUAUUAUCAAGGUUUAUGCACAAUCCCAGUCAAUUACAUCUUGAAGCAGCCAAGAGAGUGUUAAGAUACAUCAAAGGGACACUCGAUUAUGGCAUCAAAUUCAGCAAAAGCACUACUUUAAAUCUGCAUGGUUAUUGUGAUAGUGAUUGGGGUGGAUGCCUUGAUGAUAUGACGAGCACCUCAGGCUAUUGUUUUUCGCUUGGUUCUGGAGUAUUUUCUUGGGCAUCAAAGAAGCAACAAAGCGUGGCACAAUCAUCAGCUGAAGCUGAAUAUGUAUCCGCAAGUUUGGCAACAUCACAAACCAUUUGGCUUAGGAGAAUUCUUGAAGAUAUUGGUGAGAAGCAAAAGGAAGCUACGGUGAUGUUCUGUGACAACAAAUCAGCAAUUGACAUUGCCAAAAAUCCAGUUUAUCAUAGCAGAACUCGCCAUAUUGCAAUCAAGCACCAUUUUAUUCGAGAUGCAAUUGAAGAUGGUGAAGUUGAACUAAAAUUUUGCAAGAGUGAAGACCAAGCUGCAGACAUCUUUACCAAGGCACUUCCAAAAGACAAGUUCAACUAUUUUCGAGAGAUGCUUGGAGUUCAAGGACAUCACAUUAAGGGGGGAAUAUGUUGAAUAAUGUGCUAAAUCAAUUAGCUUGAUUAAUGAGGUAGUUGGAAAGCUUUCUAGAUAGUUGCAAUAUUCUCUAGAAUGAUGGAAAUUAAGAGAGUUGGUGGGAUGGUUGGAACAUUCUCUAUGUAUCUAGAAUGAUCAUUUACAAGCAUAAAUAGACCUUGUAAACUCCAAACCAAUACAAGAGAGUGAAAGAAAUAAAUGAAAGAAACAAUUGAAGCCACCCUUGUCUCCAAAUAUUCCUCUCAAUUCUUGGCCUAAUAUCCAACAAUUCUCCUAUCUCUUUCUGCACUUGCGAAUGACGGUAUUAGAUCAAAUGUUAAGUUAUGCUUUUACUUUUGAGAUUUCACUGGGUGACAAUGGACAAUCUUUAGACCAGAUGAUGUUUCCACCAGAGAUAGUCAAAUAAGUCUCAGAUCUGGUUGUUAAUAAAAUGUGUUACCAGAAGUUCCAAAGAUCAGCUAGCUAAGUACAUUGAAACUGUGGUUACAAAAAGGCAGAGAGAGAAAAUAGAAGAGAUACUGCUUCUACAACUCUUGCAAAGAGAUUCAGCAGAAAAAUAAAAUGAAAGCAAUAAAGGGUUAAUUAUCAAACUUAUUUGAUGUCAGUGAGUCAAUGAAAGAUGAAUUAGAUAGCUUUGUUCACUGAAAUUACUAAAAUCAAAAUUUUAGAGAGUUACUUAACGGGAAUUCCACAAACACAAUUAGAGAACAGACAAGGAUACGCGCACUACAUAAAGCAAUAAUGUAUAAGAAACAAAACACAAAUUAUAUCAUAAGAACUAAACACAAAAAUAAUAAAAGCAUGAGUGUUAAAAACAUUGUAAAAUAUGCUAUGUGCAAUCAAGCACAAAUGAUCAAGUGAUCUUUCACAAUGGUAUAUGCACUCAAACAGGUAACUGGACAAAGUAAAUUAUGCACUCAAUUUUGUGCAGCUUUAAUGUUAAAUUCUUGAACAUUCACAUAUGGAAUAUAUUGAACAUUCAUAGAAAUAUUCUUAAACACUCUCAUAGUUAGAAUAUUUUUCCUUUUCAUCAAUUUUUACAAGUAAUUUAUUGACAAUCAUUUCAAAAGUAACAUAUGUAACAUUCGACGCAAGUAUUUUUGUGCUUGUAUUAUUAAAAGCAUUGGCCAUUUUUUCGUUUCGAUUGUUUUUUUUUCAAAAAAAAGUUUUACAUUUUUCGUGAACGCAUUUUUUAAUCAUCUUUUUAUCUCAUAUAUAUCAAAUCAUUAUAACACAUUUUUCUAUAAAAAAAAAACUCCAGAAAUAGCAAUCCAAACUGGCUAGUUUGUGGUGGUUACACCAUAUUUAUAAUUUACAUACGCUUUUUCCACUUUGACAAUUCAUACAUUCUCAAAUCCACUUUGAAUUGAUUAUUACCAAAUUAACGUGAAGAAUAAAUGACAAAUUACAUGAAUGAACUCAUGUACCAUUUCUCACAAAGGAUAAUGUUUCACAUUUAUUCAUUGGUAAUUUAAAUACAAUACAACAAUGCCUUGGCUAAGAUGCUAACUAAAUUCUUCUUCCUGAAGCUUUCAAUCAUAUCCUUUAAGCUGACCUUCAAAGGAAUAAAUCGAACUCCUAAAUUCUUUGCCUUCUCAUUGGAUACUGUGUGGGCUGGAUAAAAAAGGUUGCUAUAGUCUGACAAUCUGCAGUAUGUUAAGAAAAUUCAGAAAAGACAAGUAAGCAUAGUUGAAAAGAAAAUGCUCAUGUAAAAUUAAACUCCACAAAAUUUGCAGGAGACAGUAAUGCUUCACAAGCAUUUUGCCUUUAUAUAAAAUUUCUGUCAUAUAUGGUAAGAAAUUUAGUUUAAAACUUUUGUUACAAUCCAUUAUAUCAAAG
rnacentral:lncRNA from 1 species